AACGAACGCUGGCGGCAUGCCUAACACAUGCAAGUCGAACGAGACCUUCGGGUCUAGUGGCGCACGGGUGCGUAACGCGUGGGAACCUGCCCUUAGGUUCGGAAUAACUCCCCGAAAGGGGUGCUAAUACCGGAUAAUGUCCUCGGACCAAAGAUUUAUCGCCUUUGGAUGGGCCCGCGUUGGAUUAGCUAGUUGGUAGGGUAAAAGCCUACCAAGGCGACGAUCCAUAGCUGGUCUGAGAGGAUGAUCAGCCACACUGGGACUGAGACACGGCCCAGACUCCUACGGGAGGCAGCAGUGGGGAAUAUUGGACAAUGGGCGAAAGCCUAAUCCAGCAAUGCCGCGUGAGUGAUGAAGGCCUUAGGGUUGUAAAGCUCUUUUACCCGGGAUGAUAAUGACAGUACCGGGAGAAUAAGCUCCGGCUAACUCCGUG
rnacentral:rRNA from 1 species